GUUUCUACUGUGAUCGCUCACUUCAAAAGCUUCUACACGAAUUUAAUAACAUACUCAGAUAUAUAUUUGGAACCAGUACAUCAUAAGCAUGUACUGCAGAGUCCAAGAUGAAAAACUGCAAUAAAAUGCAGCAGUUAAGGAUACGGACGUACCCUUAUGAGAUCAAGAUCAGGAAGACGAGCGCUGCUGGUAUAUCCGAAGCAAGCCAGUGCAGGAAGAAAUGGAAGGAGCUCUCUCCAACACAGCACAGCCACCUGGAAGCAGUUAAUGCUGUGGAAGAAAUGGAGAAGCCAGUUGCUUGCAGCAGAAGGACAACAGCAGGAACCCUAGAUGUACAGGGGUGGGACAGGAUGGAAGGAUGGCAGGCCCUUUCCAUCGCUCUGCAUGUUCUUGCAAAUGCAACGGGACAGGAAGUUCAACUUGGUGGGAAAGCUCAGCAGAGGUCCUUCAGAGGAAGCCUCACUGAUCCACCAUCCAGUGCCAGCCCGCUAACACAAUGUCUCGAUCUGCAGGCCAGCUCUAGACUUGGAUCCAGCAACUGCUUUCAACAUCCUCGAAGGCAUCUAAUUGUUCAGGACAUACCGAAUAUCUCCACUUUCAGAAAUCAAGCCUGGAGUAGAACUCCCUUGAAAGCAAGACAACAGGAAGCCGAGAUGAGUUUUAGAAAACACCAUACAAAAUGGUGCAGUGUAGGCAGAAAAUUGGCUGGGAGCAUGAUGUAAUCUCUGAGAGAGCUGCUUUGCAGAAGCCUAUUUCUUUCCUGCCCACAACCCAGUUUGGCAUUUUGGAUGUACCCAAGGAAGUUAUCUUACCAUGUUUCCCCGGGGGCAGGGUCCCAUGGCACAGGUGCUGAGAUGUGUGUGCCGACAUGCAAGUUAAGAAGUGAGGAACAAGACAGAGAGGGCAGGAGGACUUCAUCUCGUAUUCAUCAAUGUGGUCGCCAAGCUGCUCCUCACUAGCUGCAGAAGUGAAGCCAGAGACUGGUGCUGGGCAAGAAAUUGCUUCUUCCGUAUGAGGAUGAGCUUUAUUAAGCCCAUACUUUCUCAGGUAUGGCAGUUUGUAGAUGAUGCCCUGUUUCAUCUUCCUAGGGCUCACCUUCACUCCCGUCUGCCUUUGCCUUCACUCACACUUUGCAGCACUGAUAUCUGUCUUUGAACAGCGAUGGCAGUUUCAGAUCUGGCGCUACAGCUCAGUUCAGCCCAAAUGUGAACAUAAGGGAGAAGUGCGAAGCUGGUGAAAAGUCUGCAGGGAACAAUAUGGGACCAGCUUAUUUAUGGAUGAACUUUGUGAGGCUCCUCUCUGCCCGUCUCUCCA
rnacentral:lncRNA from 1 species